rnacentral:tRNA from 1 species
CAGAGUGUGGCAUAAAUAGAAAAGCAUCUCCCUUACACUGAGAGGAUGUCCAUGCAAAUUGGACCGCCCUGA